UACAGAGGGUGCGAGCGUUGUCCGGAAUUACUGGGCGUAAAGGGCGCGUAGGCGGCUUGGUAAGUAGGGGGUGAAAUCUUGCGGCUCAACUGCAAGGCUGCCUCCUAGACUGCCGGGCUUGAGCACGGUAGAGGCAGAGGGAAUUCCCGGUGUAGCGGUGGAAUGCGUAGAGAUCGGGAGGAACAUCGGUGGCGAAGGCGAUCUGCUGGGCCGGUGCUGACGCUGAGGCGCGAUAGCGUGGGGAGCAAACAGG
rnacentral:rRNA from 1 species